UGGAGAAAAAUGAUCACAACUGAAGAGAAUGUGCAGGCAGUGACUUGUGACUCAUGAAAUGACUUAAAGCAGCGGUUCUCAUCCUUUUUUCUUUUUUUUUUUUUUUAGAUUUUCAACUGACUUUACUUCCUGACUUUCAACCAUGGAAACUCUGGGAAGUCAUCAUAAUUGACUCAUAUUUUCUAAAGAAAUAGUUAUAGCAAAUAGCUCUGUAAAACCACAACUUUUUACAUUCUACAAACAAACUCAACUAACGGAUACAACAUUUUAAUUACUAAGCUUUAGAUGUGCUGGUGGGCGUAGUUUUAAACUUAAGACAGAGUCAUGAGGUGAGAUCGAAAAGUUCUGAAACUGUUCCUGUUGCAGUUGCAGUAUGGUAAUGUACAUGCAGCAGGCGCAAACAAUAACUUUUGUGAGAUAGUUAUGCACGUUACCUUGUAUGAUCGACAUCUGGACCAUGUGUUUAUACAAUCACUUGCAGGUGAGCAAUCAUUGAUACCCACCCAACUCACUGGAUUUCGUUCUGUGUGACUUCUUCCUCUUCCCCAAGAUGAAAUUCAAGCUGAAGGGUCGCCGUUUUGACACAGUGGAGGAGAUGCAGUCUGAGUCGCAGAUGGUGCCUGACACACUUACAGAGCAGGACUUCCAGGGAGUGCUCCAAUCAUGGCAGGAGCACUGAGAGCAGUGUAUCCCUGCACAAGGUGACUGCUUCGAGGGGAUGAUGGCCAAAUUAAAAUCAGAGGCACCAGCUGUGAAAUCUGCAUAACUGUGUCUUUGAGGAGUGAGUUCAGUGUUAUUGCCACUCACUCUGAGAUGUGAACAAAGAUGUCUUCGCCGCCAUGGGAGGGUCGAAUGAAGCCGUGACCUUGUGACCUGGAGAAGUUCUUACACAUGCCCUUAAACACUGGACCUGAGUGGGCACGUACUGUACUGCAGGGGGAGGACAACAGGGUUCUCACAUGAACAAUAAAAUUACUCAUCUCA